GAUGAACGCUGGCGGCGUGCCUAAUACAUGCAAGUCGAGCGAACGGACGAGAAGCUUGCUUCUCUGAUGUUAGCGGCGGACGGGUGAGUAACACGUGGAUAACCUACCUAUAAGACUGGGAUAACUUCGGGAAACCGGAGCUAAUACCGGAUGAUAUUUUGAACCGCAUGGUUCAAAAGUGAAAGACGGUCUUGCUGUCACUUAUAGAUGGAUCCGCGCUGCAUUAGCUAGUUGGUAAGGUAACGGCUUACCAAGGCAACGAUGCAUAGCCGACCUGAGAGAGUGAUCGGCGACACUGGAACUGAGACACGGUCCAGACUCCUACGGGAGGCAGCAGUAGGGAAUCGUCCGCAAUGGGCGAAAGCCUGACGGAGCAACGCCGCGUGAGUGAUGAAGGUCUUCGGAUCGUAAAACUCUGUUAUUAGGGAAGAACAUAUGUGUAAGUAACUGUGCACAUCUUGACGGUACCUAAUCAGAAAGCCACGGCUAACUACGUG
rnacentral:rRNA from 1 species